CAUAGAAGAAACGUUAUUGUCUUGGAAGGGCAUACUUUUAUGUUUAGCAUAAAAACAAGUAUCACAAGACAAACCAUUUGUAUUUAAGUCAGGUAAAGGAAAAAAAUUAUUAAUGUGAAGCAUAGCAUCACUAGAUGGAUGUCCAAGGCGUUUAUGCCAAAUGUUGCAAGCUUUUAAUGUUAGGCAAGUUUUUAUCAAGCCUUCUCUGAUCCCUUGGCAAGUCAAGGCAGUUUGGAUUAGAUAGGUUAUGGAAACUCAAUCGAAGGUGGCACUCAAGAGGAUUUGGAAGACUAAUAUCCCAUCAAGAUUAAAGGUUUUCAGAUGGAGGGUGGUGCUCAAUAGACUACCUACAAAAGAUCAAUUGGUGAAAAGGGGGAUAAUUCGAAAUGAACAACAAGAGCUUUGUGUAUUCUGCCAAGAGAAGGUUGAAGAUUUAGAACAUCUCAUGUUCAAAUGCAUAAUUAGUCAAAAAGUUUAGAGUAGCAAGUAUGGUUGGUUGGAUAUUAAGGAGAUGGAGAACUAUGUUGAGGUGUGUCACCUGAGAAAUUUCACUCAAGCUUUGGUGGGGAAGAUAAAGAAGAAGAAAUUGUGUUCAAUUCGGUUAACUAGUGUGUGGUCCUUAUGGACUUCGAGAAACAACUUCCUAUUCAAAGGAGAACCGUGUGUACUCGAUGAUUUAAUCAUGAACAUCAAAGAUGGCUUGGUCCUGGCAUACCAUUGGCAAUAGAAAAUUUUGUUGUAACAUUUUGUAUAAUUGAUUACACUCAGCUUUAGAUUUUCUAAAUUUUGAUUAAGCGUUUUUUGGAUUUGAGUACUCCUUA